UGCGCAGGCGGGGAUGUAAGUCAGUGGUGAAAUACUGCCGCUCAACGGUAGAACUGCCAUUGAUACUGCAUCUCUUGAGUAUGGUUGAGGUAGGCGGAAUGUGUUGUGUAGCGGUGAAAUGCAUAGAUAUGAUACAGAACGCCGAUUGCGAAGGCAGCUUACUAAGCCAUUACUGACGCUGAGGCACGAAAGCGUGGGGAGCGAACAGGAUUAGAUACCCUGGUAGUCC
rnacentral:rRNA from 1 species